CUACAUCUCCUCAACCACAGCAACAGGAAAGGACACAGGGAAGAUGAAAAGCUGUUUGCUCCUAACUGCUUUUAUUGACUGAAUUUGGGAGCUGCCAGAGCAACACAAGGUAGACAUGUCAAAGAAAAGAAAACUACGGAGAGGGAAGUGGGGAAGACUGCUCUUGUUUUAUACAAAACCUCCUGAGGAGAGGCAAGAAAACAGGAGAAGACUGGCUUUUUAA
rnacentral:lncRNA from 1 species